CCUACGGGUGGCAGCAGUGAGGAAUAUUGGUCAAUGGGCGUAAGCCUGAACCAGCCAAGUCGCGUGAGGGAUGAAGGUUCUAUGGAUCGUAAACCUCUUUUAUAAGGGAAUAAAGUGUGGGACGUGUCCUAUUUUGUAUGUACCUUAUGAAUACGGAUCGGCUAACUCCGUGCCAGCAGCCGCGGUAAUACGGAGGAUCCGAGCGUUAUACGGAUUUCUUGGGUUUAAAGGGUGCGUAGGUGGCCUUUUAAGUCAGCGGUGAAAGUCUGUGGCUCAACCAUAGAAUUGCCGUUGAAACUGGGGGGCUUGAGUAUAGUUGAGGCAGGCGGAAUGCGUGGUGUAGCGGUGAAAUGCUUAGAUAUCACGCAGAACCCCGAUUGCGAAGGCAGCCUGCCAAGCCAUGACUGACGCUGAUGCACGAAAGCGUGGGGAUCAAACAGGAUUAGAUACCCUAGUAGUC
rnacentral:rRNA from 1 species